rnacentral:rRNA from 1 species
AUUCCUACGGGAGGCAGCAGUCGGGAAUAUUGGACAAUGGAGGAAACUCUGAUCCAGCAAUGCCGCGUGUGUGAUGAAGGCCUUAGGGUUGUAAAGCACUUUCAACGGUGAAGAUGAUGACGGUAGCCGUAGAAGAAGCCCCGGCUAACUUCGUGCCAGCAGCCGCGGUAAUACGAAGGGGGCGAGCGUUGUUCGGAAUUAUUGGGCGCAAAGGGCGCGCAGGCGGUUUGGAUAGUUAGACGUGAAAGCCCUGGGCUUAACCUAGGAACUGCGUUUAAUACUGCCAAACUAGAGAACUAGAGAGGAUAGCGGAACUCCCAGUGUAGAGGUGAAAUUCGUAGAUAUUGGGAAGAACAUCAGUGGCGAAAGCGGCUGUCUGGCUAGUUUCUGACGCUGAGGCGCGAAAGCGUGGGGAGCAAACAGGAUUAGAUACCCUGGUAGUCCACGCCGUAAACGAUGUGUGCUAGAUGUUGGAAGGUUACCUUGCAGUGUCGCAGCUAACGCGUUAAGCACACCGCCUGGGAAGUACGGUCGCAAGAUUAAAACUCAAAUGAAUUGACGGAAU